ensembl:lncRNA
UUUAGGGAUUGUUUUGUUCUACAGGAGAAGGACACUGAAAAUUUGCAUUUGAGAAUCUUCAUGCUCUCUGAGAAGAGCUCAGCUUUGACAGCAUCCAAGAAGAUCAAUCAGCGAAGUUACCUGCAGCUCUGUUGUCAUGUCAGUAAACUACAGAGAGAGCUCCAAGAAUGCAACCUGACUUGUGCUGAGGAAGAUGAAGUUUUUACAAAGAUGAAACACCAAAUCAGGGAGCUUGAAGAGUAUAUGCAAGAAUAUCAAGUAAAAAUAGAGGUUCUCCAGGACAGAGAGAAAGCUCUGCAGGAUGAACUGUCAGCUGUUAUGAAAAAAAGGGCCGGACAGCAGACCAAGUUUCCAGGCAAGUUUUUGAACCUCCACCCCAAGAGCUUGAUGUAUGAAAUAGCCAGGGCUGAACUGGAAUUGAAAAUGCAAAGGGAAGGAAAAUCUGUGAAGAAGCAGGUUUGUGGUGGGUGAAGAUAGCCUGGAUCUUCAUCAUCUUGUGGCACUUUGCAGGCAUCCUGCUGGUGAUUCUCCUACUGGUGAUUCUAGUUGCCUUCUACAUUAUUGGCAUCUGCCUCUCAAAUCACACCAUGACAGAGGCAUACCAGCGGCCCAUGUGGCAGUUCCUGGACUAUUAUUUCCAACCAUAUAUCCAACUAUAUAGUAAUGGCAUCUUACCAAAGUGAUCCCAGGGACUGAAAGAAGCUGCCCACUAGAAAAACCUUGUCAAUAUAGUCUAUCUAAGAGUGUGAAUAAAGCUGAUAUCCUAUCAUGGUUUUCUGGUGCU